UUUUUGGCGGCACGUCGAUUCCUUACAUCUGGUGCUGAAACCUGGGAGGAGGGUUUUGUGACCCGGCCAGGCCUUUUUGGUCGAGAUGAGAGUCCCCCUCCUCUCCCUGCGCCACCACCCGUCUUCUGGAUUCAGAAUCUCCCUCCACCCAGCGCCGGCUCUGGAGCCUAACUCCAAAACCGUUGGAUUGAGGCCUUCCCGACCUCCUCAGAAACUGCAGAAACCGUGACUACCCACUUAUUAAAGGACAUCAUUCCACGCUUCGGGCUGCCAAACUCCAUACAAUCAGACCAUGGACCGGCCUUCAUCUCCAAAAUCACCGAGGCGGUCUCGGCCUCUCUCAGCAUUAAAUGAAAGUUACAUGCGGCCUACCACCCCCAGUCUUCAGAACCGAUUCGCACGGCUCACCCGGACACUAGAGGUCCACCAAAUGAUGCUGCAACAACAGUACCAGCCUUUGACCAGUCCCCGGACUCAGAUCACGCCGACAGGGCCCCCUCCCCUGACAUCACUCCCAUUCAGCUGGAAGUAGCCAGAAAGACAACCUCGCCCCUAUUCCUAUACCACAGAGUCGGGGAAUGUCCGAUAGCCUGGGGACUCGCGCCAGGCAAACUGCUCGACCAUUACCUUGCUUACCCAACCUUAAACCCCACCCUGUUCCAGGAACUGUUUGCCCCGGGCUUAUAGACUCACAUGCUGUUACGACAGAGGCACCCAUGUGUAAACCUGCAGGGCCAAACCCUAACGGACAAAUUCCAGCUGCAACAGGCAGAUAUAAAAAUCACAAACCCCAGCAUUGGGCACGGCUUCUAGGA